rnacentral:rRNA from 1 species
GAUGAACGCUGGCGGCGUGCCUAAUACAUGCAAGUCGAGCGAACAGAUGAGGAGCUUGCUCCUCUGACGUUAGCGGCGGACGGGUGAGUAACACGUGUAUAACCUACCUAUAAGACUGGGAUAACUUCGGGAAACCGGAGCUAAUCCCGGAUAAUAUAUUGAACCGCAUGGUUCAUUAGUGAAAGACGGUUUUGCUGUCACUUCUAGAUGGAUCCGCGCCGCAUUAGCUAGUUGUUAAGGUAACGGCUUACCAAGGCAACGAUGCGUAGCCGACCUGAGAGAGUGAUAGGCCACACUGGAACUGAGACAGGGACCAGACUCCUACGGGAGGCAGCAGUAGGGAAUCUGCCGCAAUGGUCGAAAGCCUGACGGAGCAACGCCGCGUGAGUGAUGAAGGUCUUCGGAUCGUAAAACUCUGUUAUUAGGGAAGAACAAAUGUGUAAGUAGCUAUGCACGUCUUGACGGUACCUAAUCAGAAAGCCACGGCUAACUACGUG